AAAGCAAAAUGCCUGGUGAAAGAAGAUGAAACCAAACAGCAGGCGGUUCUUAAGAAUUUUUAUAGUCACAGUACUGUUUUAUUAGUGCUUUAUAUAUUUUAUGAUAAAUGCUAAUUCGACUGAUAUUUUUGAAAAGUUUUUUAAAGGUGUGUAAUUUCUUUCACUUUCACUACUGCUGACAGAAAUAAUGAUUGCUUUCAAACAGGUUUCCUGAACACUUCUCCUCGUCAAGCUAUUGGUUGGACAAAUAGAUAGUCCCACUUCUUUGUUGCUGUGUCAGGAUGCUCAAACACAAGCAAUUUUUCCCAGCUAACAGGAGCUGUUCCAUAUAACAUGGCCUGCAGCAACUUCGGGUGGAGACUGCAUCUGUCUGAAUGUACACCAUAUGCACAUGGAGGCACAUCUUAGUUGUGUAAAAAGACUGGAACAUCAGUCCCCACAGUGGCGCUUUCUCCACGUCCCUUCCAGCCACUCACCUGCGGUGGGAGUUCCUGUUGCUAUUUACAUGGCCGCGUCCCGAGCAGCCAGGCGUGG